rnacentral:rRNA from 1 species
UACGUAGGGGGCUAGCGUUGUCCGGAUUUAUUGGGCGUAAAGAGCGUGUAGGCGGCCAAGUAGGUCCGGUGUGAAAACUCGAGGCUUAACCUCGAGAUGUCAUCGGAAACCAUUUGGCUAGAGUCCGGAAGAGGAAAGUGGAAUUCCUGGUGUAGCGGUGAAAUGCGUAGAUAUGCGGAGGAACACCGAUGGCGAAGGCAAUCCCCUGGGCCUGCACUGACGCCUCAUGCACGAAAGCGUGGGGAGCAAACAGG